AAUGAGGGGACAUAAAUCUGACCUCUGAAAAACAAUGCAACAAGUGAAUAUAAAAAUAGGGCAAUAAAUAGGAAAGUACUACUUCAUUGUACAAUGGAAUUAAUGCAAAAAAUGGAACCUAAGCUACAAACCUCUAAAGCUGUGCAGUCCAUGUUUGUCAAUCUACACUAGUGUCCUAAUCUAUCGUGUUAGGUCGGAUGGUCCAUACUCCUAAUAGCAUAGGUGAUCCCAACCUUCUGAAGAAAUCGAGUCUGCAACCUGGUUUUCCUCUCUAUAGAUAUGUGAAACCAUGUCUCUGUUGAAUGAGAUGAGGUCUUUGAUAUGUCGAAGAGUGCUUUGAAUCUUCCAUGGUCCUCCAUCCUUGGUGAUACAGUGAAUAGUCAUGGUCAAAUCUGUCUUAACUUAAGUAGCUGAUAUCCCAACAUCUCUGGCCAACAGAAUCCCGUCCAGUAUAGCUUUGAGCUCGACUUCCAAAAUCAAACAUGGGCCAUAAGAUGCUGAGAAUGCCCUGAUGUAGUGUCCCGUGUAGUCCCUAAUGAUGCCCCACUACUCGUAAAUCCAUCCUUAAUGGAUCCUUCAGUGUCGAUCUUUUAAGAUCCCAUUGGUGGGCUGCACCAAACAAUCAUAAUAGAUGGUGGUGGAGGAGGAAGAGUCAUAGAUAUACCAAAAAA
rnacentral:lncRNA from 1 species